GUGUUGGCUGUUAUUCAACCAACAACAGGGCAGAACCCGCCAACCUGGAACACAGGAACAUCAUUCAAUAAGACGUCUUCAGAUUGUACAGAAAUCACCGACUUGUCUGCAACGUCACAGACUGGCGACACUGUUAUAUACUCUGUAGAGUCUCAAACCCCGAAUGCCGGAUUUACUACUGAUGUGAACUUUGCUUCUGAUCAAAUUCUUACGUGUGUGAAGGAUUCCGUAUCCCAAUCCUCGUAUGUUGUAGUGGUAAGAGCAAAAUAUCAAUCAGAUCCGGGACAAUCAGAUUUAACCAUAACUAUCACAUUCACAGAUCAAUCACCUGCGACAUGGAACACUGGCACCUCGCAUAAAUUAGAUAAAACGGACGCUAAUGCGUGUUACUCUGUCACAACUUUGUCAGCAACUUCGACAGAUGGUUCCACUGUAACGUACAG